rnacentral:tRNA from 1 species
GGGAUAGUAAGUUUAACUGGUAAAACAGGGCGAGGUAUGGGCGUUCACUUGCGGGUUCGACUCCCGUCUAUCCCA